UACGUAGGGACCGAGCGUUGUCCGGAAUCAUUGGGCGUAAAGAGCGUGUAGGCGGCCACUUAAGUCCUGCGUGAAAUCCUGCGGCUCAACCGCAGGCGGUCGUGGGAAACUGGGUGGCUAGAGUGCGGGAGAGGAGAGUGGAAUUCCUGGUGUAGCGGUGGAAUGCGCAGAUAUCAGGAAGAACACCCGUGGCGAAGGCGCUCUCUGGAACGCAACUGACGCUGAGACGCGAAAGCGUGGGGAGCAAACAGG
rnacentral:rRNA from 1 species